rnacentral:tRNA from 1 species
AGUAGCUCAGCGGAAGAGCAGUUGACUGUUAAUCAAUUGGUCGUAGGUUCGAUCCCUACCU